UCUAUGCCUCACUCAUCAUGCCAGUAAAUAAAUGUCUAUUGAUACUCAUUCAGCAUUUCCUAACAUCAUGAUCUUCUACUGGAGACCAUCUAUACCUUACUUACAGAAUACAUUGAUGACUUAUACCUUGUUAUUGUAAUAACUUACUGACAUUAUGAACUAAGUAAAAGCCUAAUACAUCACCUCAAAUCUGUGCAAUAACUCAUCCUUGAUUGUUUGCUCUACCAUUCUCCACCAAGGCCAAGCUUCUUUAAAGCACUGCUUCAGUCAAACACUCAUCUGUGGUGACACCUCAGGCUCGAUGAAUAUGCACAUUAAACAUCAACGAAAUUAAUCAUAUGAAAUAACAAUUAAAAUACAUGUCAAAUAAGAAUAUAUAAUUAUAAAACCUACUUAUUCAUUUCCACUGUGAUGGAAAUUUUAUCUGCUUCAAUGGUUGGCUAAGAGCAGGCUGGUUCGAGCCUCUUAUAUGCAUAGGAUCAACUAAACCCAUACUAUGAGGCACAUGAGGUGAAGGAUUGAUAGAGGGCUCCUCCAUAGGCAAUGAACCAUACAUCUCAGCAGGUAG
rnacentral:lncRNA from 1 species